rnacentral:snRNA from 1 species
GGACAGAAUGGUGACCUGGCUACAACCUCUGUCACCUCAUUGAUCACCAGGGUUGGUUCGGAUGAUUAGGUGGGUGUCCCCUUCCUCCCUCGCCACUCAGUGUGUGUCCUUCCAGAUGCUAGGCAUUCGGUGGAAGAAGACCACCUUCCCCAAAUAGAAUAGGACCGCCUUCCCUGAAUAGAAGAGGACCACCUU